CAGCUGCGUGAAUUAAUGUGAAUUGCAGGACACAUUGAACAUCGAUAUCUUGAACGCAUAUUGCGGCCUCGGGCAAUCCCGAGGCCACGCCUGUCUCAGGGUCGGUUGAACGUCAAUCGCGAGCCGCUCUCCGUUCGCGCAUUGGGCGUCGCAGUUCGAGUCGACAGACAGACGACUGCGUCGCCUCAAGUACAGACGGGUUGCUCGGUCGACGGCAUUCGGUCCAAUCGAUCGGGACGGUGACUCGACUCUCGUAGAGCGCACCAUCUCCCGUUUCGGAUGGCACGACGUCGAUCCGCUAGGCGACCGCCAACUAAUAAACAGACUUCGACCUGAGAUCAGACGAGAUUACCCGCUGAAUUUAA
rnacentral:misc_RNA from 1 species